rnacentral:rRNA from 2 species
ACUUAAAUUGAAGAGUUUGAUCAUGGCUCAGAUUGAACGCUGGCGGCAGGCCUAACACAUGCAAGUCGAGCGGUAGCACAGAGAGCUUGCUCUCGGGUGACGAGCGGCGGACGGGUGAGUAAUGUCUGGGAAACUGCCUGAUGGAGGGGGAUAACUACUGGAAACGGU